rnacentral:rRNA from 1 species
UACGUAGGGUGCAAGCGUUGUCCGGAAUCAUUGGGCGUAAAGCGCGCGUAGGCGGCCCGGCACGUCCGCUGUGAAAGUCGGGGGCUCAACCCUCGAAAGCCGGUGGAUACUGUCGGGCUCGAGUACGGAAGAGGCGAGUGGAAUUCCUGGUGUAGCGGUGAAAUGCGCAGAUAUCAGGAGGAACACCAAUUGCGAAGGCAGCUCGCUGGGACGUUACUGACGCUGAGACGCGAAAGCGUGGGGAGCAAACAGG